GCAAGCCAUCUUGUAAGAAGGAGGAAUACAAAUUUUAUGCCUCGAGCUGCUGAAGCAUAGCAAAGGACAAAGUGUGCUAACUCAAUGAAGGCUUGCAUCCAUGAAUAUUUUUGAGAACCAGUCAAUUCAAGUAAAUGUUUUUCUUUUGGACAUUAAAGUAUCACACUAGAGUUUCCUGCUGCAUUUUCAGAUGGAUGAACAUUUAUAAAUGGAGAAAUGUUCCAAUUCUUACACCUUCAUUG